rnacentral:rRNA from 1 species
UACAGAGGUCUCAAGCGUUGUUCGGAUUCUUUGGGCGUAAAGGGUGCGUAGGCGGCGCGGUAAGUCGGGUGUGAAAUCUCGGGGCUUAACUCCGAAACUGCAUUCGAUACUGCCGUGCUUGAGGACUGGAGAGGAGACUGGAAUUUACGGUGUAGCGGUGAAAUGCGUAGAUAUCGUAAGGAAGACCAGUGGCGAAGGCGGGUCUCUGGACAGUUCCUGACGCUGAGGCACGAAGGUCAGGGGAGCAAACGGG